UUCAGUAGACGUCAUAUACAUACCUUGAUUUAUUUCCCGAAUGAGAUCAUACAGUGAAAAGGCGAAGCGAAUCGAAGGUAUAAUAAUCCGAAUCUGACCUAUUGAUCCUACCGGUCGUUAACGAGCGAAUUGCCGGUGGAUUUUUAUCAUUCGGCAAUCAAUCCGUCGAUCGAUACGGGAUGCAAAAGGCAAUGAACUGUGCGGAGAUUGUGGAAGCGGCCGAUGGAAGAAAGGCAGGUUUGGUUGGGAGCAGUUUCUGAUCCGCUGAACCGUGAAUUUACGGUAAAAUCAAGAUGAAGUGUGUGAAAUCGAGUGUGGCUACCGUGGCGGACAAUAAACCAAUCGAACAAGGACCAAUUCCGGAAUGGGAGACACCGAAUAAGGUCCGAAAUAUGACAGAUGUAACCUUUUCCGGAUCGAUUUCUCUUGACGCGUUCGGAUUCUAUGGUCACUAACCUCAACAAAUAGAAUCUGACAUCGAGAAUCUGACAGUACUAGAGCCGUUUUUUUCCUCAUUGUGUGUCUUCUAUUUGAUACAAUUAACAAAGGCAACUCUAAUUUCGGUACUUCAAUAAUGAAUCGAAAUGAGAGACCGUCAUCAGAGGAUCCGACCCUGAAUGAUAUCAACCACUCGAGUAACAGCCUCAGCGGUGCCAUAAACUAUCCAGCACGUCUAAAUUAAUUGAAUUAUGUAAACUAAUGUUAGUUUUAUUGCCGCAUUUGUUACCAGAGAAAACUUAUUCACUCAUUAGACCGAUUUCAGUC